AGUAAAGUGCCUGAAUAAAGGAUUAUUUUGAUAGAAUAAAUUAUACACUAAGUGUUUUUACUG
rnacentral:tRNA from 2 species